GUGUCAGCAGCCGCGGUAAUACGAAGGGGGCUAGCGUUGUUCGGAAUCACUGGGCGUAAAGCGCACGUAGGCGGAUCUUUAAGUCAGGGGUGAAAUCCCGAGGCUCAACCUCGGAACUGCCUUUGAUACUGGAGGUCUCGAGUUCGGGAGAGGUGAGUGGAACUGCGAGUGUAGAGGUGAAAUUCGUAGAUAUUCGCAAAAACACCAGUGGCGAAGGCGGCUCACUGGCCC
rnacentral:rRNA from 1 species